UCCGGUUUGUCACCGGCAGUCCCAUUAGAGUGCUCAACUGAAUGUAGCAACUAAUGGCAAGGGUUGCGCUCGUUGCGGGACUUAACCCAACGUCUCACGACACGAGCUGACGACAGCCAUGCAGCACCUGUGUUCAGGCUCCCUUUCGGGCACUCCCCCGUUUCUGGAGGAUUCCUGACAUGUCAAGGGUAGGUAAGGUGGGGAUGACGUCUCGCAACUAACCA
rnacentral:misc_RNA from 1 species